UACGGGGGGGGCAAGCGUUGUUCGGAAUUACUGGGCGUAAAGGGCUCGUAGGUGGCCAACUAAGUCAGACGUGAAAUCCCUCGGCUUAACCGGGGAACUGCGUCUGAUACUGGAUGGCUUGAGGUUGGGAGAGGGAUGCGGAAUUCCAGGUGUAGCGGUGAAAUGCGUAGAUAUCUGGAGGAACACCGGUGGCGAAGGCGGCAUCCUGGACCAAUUCUGACGCUGAGGCGCGAAAGCUAGGGGAGCAAACGGG
rnacentral:rRNA from 1 species